GAGAACAUCUCCCAUUACAUAUUUGUAAAAUAAUAUUUUUUUUAAUUUAUAAAUAUUGAAUUAGAUACUAAAGAAAACCCAAGAAGCAAGCUAGAGAGCUUCACCCUUUAUUCAAUAUUUAUAAUAUAAAAACACCUCACAAUUAUAUAACAAUAUUUCAAACACUGACAACUCUCACACAAUCUAAUGUUUGAUAGCUCAUGCAUAUGUAAUACAUAAAUAUACAAGCUUAUUUAAUUUCAAAGGAUUAAACUGUUCCUGCAUAUAUCCUCUCAUUUGGAGAUUCCUUCAUCAAUAUCCUUAGUCAUGCUAAUCACAAAAUCCAUGUAAUUAUGAGGAACAGGAACAUUCUCAUUCAGCUUCUCAAAUUCAAGAGUCAAUUUUGCCAAGCUCCCCUGGUCCUUGGGUGUGAGUUCCCAUGUGCCAGUGCAAACCCUGUAAAUCUUGAGCACAUCACCUUCCAGACCAAUAAUACGUACUAUUUUCUUUUCCUCGUCCAAUUCAAUCUUCUCCUGAAAGACCUCAGCUUUUCCAUCUAUAGUGUAGUUCCAGACCUUGAUGGUGCCAGGAGUGACCCAAUCACCUUCAAGGACAUGAACUCCUUGAAUAUUGGUAGAAGUAAGGUUAGGAACCUGGUAGGCUUGCUCCUUCCAGAGACUCAAGAACUUUUCAGGACUUGACUUGAGAUCUAACACAGUCUCCAACUUCCCCUUGAGAGCCAUGGCUUCUAUGUCACAAUAAAG
rnacentral:misc_RNA from 1 species